GUCCCUGUAGCGCAAUAGUAGCGCGUUGGACAUCUAAUCCAAAGAUCGUGGGUUCGAAUCCCGCCUGCGAUG